GGGCCUAUAGCUCAGUUGGUUAGAGCGCACGCCUGAUAAGCGUGAGGUGAGUGGUUCGAUUCCACUUAGGCCCACCA
rnacentral:tRNA from 3 species